CCCUGAUGAGCUCAGUUGGUAAAGCGCUCCACUGGAAAUGUAGAGGACUCGGGUUCGAUACGCGGAUCAGGCG
rnacentral:tRNA from 1 species